UGGGGGAUAUUGCACAAUGGGCGCAAGCCUGAUGCAGCGACGCCGCGUGGGGGAUGAAGGCCUUCGGGUUGUAAACUUCUUUUGCUCUGAACAAGGCGCACUUUGGGGUGUGUUGAGUGUAGGGGUUGAUUAGCGCCGGCUAACUACGUGCCAGCAGCCGCGGUAAUACGUAGGGCGCGAGCGUUGUCCGGAAUUAUUGGGCGUAAAGGGCUUGUAGGUGGCUGGUUGCGUCUGUCGUGAAAGAUCAUGGCUUAACGGUGGGUUUGCGGUGGGUACGGGCUGGCUUGAGUGCAGUAGGAGAGGCUGGAAUUCCUGGUGUAGCGGUGGAAUGCGCAGAUAUCAGGAGGAAUACCGGUGGCGAAGGCGGGUCUCUGGGCUGUUACUGACACUGAGGAGCGAAAGCAUGGGGAGCGAACAGG
rnacentral:rRNA from 1 species